AUACAUGCAAGUCGAGCGGUAAGGUUCUCACAGUUUGCUUAAGCGAGAAACAGGUCGCAGCUGCUAAAGCAGUUGCAUCUUCAUCGAGUGAUGAGCGCCCAUCUAACACCUAGCAAUAGGAGCUAGACAGGGAAGCUUGAGUAAAGUGUGAGAAUACACGAGCGGCGGACGGCUGAGUAACGCGUAGGAACGUACCCCAAAGUGAGGGAUAAGCACCAGAAAUGGUGUCUAAUACCGCAUGUGGUCUAAGGAUUAAAGCUUCGGCGCUUUGGGAACGGCCUGCGUAUGAUUAGUUUGUUGGUGAGGUAACGGCUCACCAAGACUACGAUCAUUAGCUGGUCUGAGAGGAUGAUCAGCCAGACUGGGACUGAGAACGGCCCAGACUCCUACGGGAGGCAGCAGUAGGGAAUUUUCCACAAUGGACGAAAGUCUGAUGGAGCAACGCCGCGUGCAGGAUGAAGGGCUUCGGUUCGUAAACUGCUUUUAUAUGUGACGAUUAUGACGGUAGCAUAUGAAUAAGGAUCGGCUAAUUCCGUGCCAGCAGCCGCGGUCAUACGGAAGAUCCAAGCGUUAUCCGGAAUUACUGGGCGUAAAGAGUUGCGUAGGUGGCAUAGUAAGUAGAUAGUGAAAGCCUGGGGCUCAACCCUUUAAACAUUAUCUAAACUGCUAAGCUAGAGGGCGAGAGAGGUAGCUAGAAUUCCUAG
rnacentral:rRNA from 1 species